AAAAGCACUUUGAAGAGAGAGUUAAAGAGGACGUGAAACCGGUAGGAUGGAAACGGAUAGAGCCAGCAAACUCGCUCGUAUUCAACCGAAGGCUCGUGGUCGCCAUGCGUUGAGUUGAUUUGCUCAACGUUUGUCCGGCUGCGGGUUGAGGUGCAUUUGCGGGCGUUGGCGCUGAGACUUGUGGAGCAGCUGUUGAACCCGUUGCAUAGAGGCCGUCCUCUGGACGGAACCUGUCUGCGGUGACGAUUGUUUGCUUUGCUCGUAAACGGGCACGGCCUACGAUCUCUGACUGCGUCGUGUUUUUGUUGCGGUGGUGUCGCAUGCGAUGCCUAGCGAUGAGGAUACGAUUUGGUUGGUUGAUCUCGUGCCACCCUCUCGGUGUAAAAGCUGGUCAUCUCUCUGACCCGUCUUGAAACACGGACCAAGGAGUUUAGCGUAUGCGCGAGUCAUUGGGUGUUUGAAAACUCAAAGGCGUAAUGAAAGUAAAGGCUCGUUUCGCGGGCUGACAUGCGAGUGCCGGUGCUUCGGCUCUGACAUGCAGCAUGGUCCCGUUUCGGUCGUUUACGACGGAGCGGAGACAGAGCGUAUGCGCUGAGACCCGAAAGAUGGUGAACUAUUCCUGAGCAGGACGAAGCCAGAGGAAACUCUGGUGGAAGUCCGAAGCGAUUCUGACGUGCAAAUCGAUCGUCUGACUUGGGUAUAGGGGCGAAAGACUAAUCGAACCAUC
rnacentral:rRNA from 1 species